rnacentral:misc_RNA from 1 species
ACCCCAUAAUGCAUAUUCUGGUGCUAUAUAUCCUAUGGUUCCAGCAAUUCUAGUGCUGAUGUGGGUCUUGUCUUCUUCAUCAAGUUUAGCCAACCCAAAAUCAGAUAUUUUAGGGUUUAGAUCCUUAUCAAGGAGAAUGUUGGUGCCUUUUAUGUCUCUAUGAACAAUUCUGAAUCUUGAUUCAUCAUGCAGAAAAGCUAAACCUCUAGCUAUCCCAACACAGAUCUUCUGCCUUGUUUGCCAGUCCAAAAGCAAUUGGUUGUGUUCUGGGUGGCCAAACAAAGCACGAGCAAGGCUAUUAUUUUCCAGGUAUUCAUAUACUAGCAGUAGUUGAUUUCCUUCAAUGCAGCAACCAUGAAGUUUGACAAGAUUUGGGUGUUGCAAA